AUGACUAAUGGACAUUUCCCCACUGCUUAUCAACACAGUGUUUUGAGAGGUAGAUAAUGCAAAUUAUCCAUUAACUUAUGUGCUGGGUCUGCUCUUACCGGAUUUAGCGUGCCACUGGUCAGCUCAGCCACAGUGGAGAUAUGUUCUUUGAAAAGAAGCUCAUAAAAGAAAAGCUGAAGACAUAUUCAGGUACUGAUGCAAAUUGGACCAGCUUCACCAGAACAGAUGAAAAAAUCCACUCCAGUUCUGGCAUUUAAAACAUUUCUGAAGGAUGCGGUUGAUCUUCACUGCAACUGUGUUCUGGCCCAAACAGAAAGAAGACUUGAGCCCAAGCUUCCUCAGUCAAAACUGUGGCCAUCUUUGUCAUACCAGGGCAUUCCAUUCUUACAUGAUUGGGCACAUAUACCUUCCUCCAGACCAGGUUGCUCAAAGCCCCAUCAAACCUGAUCUUGAACACCUCUGGGGAUGGGACAUGCACAGUUUCUCUGGGCAGCCUGUGCCAGUGCUUCACCGCAUCCAUGGUAAAGAUUUUCUUCCUAAUAUUUAAUCUAAACCUACCCACUUUUAAUUUAAAGCCAUUAUUCCUUGCCCUAUCACCACAACCUCUUGUAAAAGUCCUCACCUUUCCUGUAGGCUCCCUUAAGGUACUGGAAGGCUACUGUAACAUCUUGCAGCCUUCUUUUCUCCAGGCUGAAUGAUCCCACCUCUCUCUCUCUUCAUGGAAGAGGUACUCCAGCCAUUUGAUAAUCCCUGUGGCCCUCCUCUGGACUUACUCCAGUAAGUCUUACUGGGCAAGAAGAAACAUCAGAAAGUACAUUUAAAUCUGGAAUCACUUCCACGGUCUGGCUGCUCAUAUUGUGCAAACUGAAAAGCAGCAUUUCCAUUUUGCAGAAAUGAGGACAUCGUCACUGUGGAAAUAGCUAAGGAGGGAGAAAAUGAGCUGACACGUAUGACUUGAAGGAGAAGUUGUGUUCAGAACAACGUUGCAUUCCCUGGAGGUCUCGUGACCAAGGAGAGCAAUGAGGCAUUGAAUAGUGUUCGGGUGUUUUAUUGCAGUGUCUCAAGCUGUGUAACUCAGUGUUAAAAGACUGGAUUUUGGGGGGGGAUGUUUUACAAAGCCUGGGCAUGGUGUACGUUUGUGUGUCAGAAAAUUGUAAAUUCAGACUGCUCACAGUGAAAUCUCUUGGAAAAAAUGUAUUUAGACUUCUGGCAACCUGAAGAGACAGCUUCAGUACAGGUGGUCUGGGGCUGCUGGGCUGCAAAGCCUCAUCUCACGGGAAAGGGGGAGGCAAAGAGCCUGUUCCAAGCAGACAGGCCAAAAGAAGCAAAUGAGCCAUAAACUAAUCAAAUGAGGAAAAACUAAGAGAAUAUAGAUCCAGCCUGCUAUGACACACAUGCAACAGCUGAGGAAGCUUCCCGCAGGCACAAUGAUUUUAAAACACAAAAAUCCCCAGCUGAUUUUUCAUCACCAACAAGUAAAUGCUCCUAAUGAAUCUGGCCCUUAUCUCAGUUAGCAGUUCUGCAAGGCAAUCUAUAUAAUCCAUUACUUCUGAGUCAUUUUUAGC
ensembl:lncRNA